ACAUGACAUCGUUAGCCAGCAGUGUGUCUCCUAGAAGAGAGCUGUUUAGAGUUCCAGCCACCAAGUUGAACACCAUCACCAAAUCCAACCUGGGUCAGUGUGUCAGCAAGUACGACCUGCUGGUCUAGUUUGAGAUCAGCGAGUUGGAGCCCACUGGAGAGUGCAUCCCAGCCAUCGUGGAUCACAGUGGAGGCCUGCCCUGCCAUGGUACCUACCUGCUGCACCAGAUCUGUUGUGUCCAAGAAGGGUUUUCUAAGCUUCGUGGAGCCUCGCUCUAACUCAUAGGUGAAGCAUUUUGUGGUUGUUCGCCGGCCCUACGUCUUCAUCUACAACAGCGACAAGGACCCCGUGGAGCGAGGCGCCGUCAACCUCUCCACAGCACAGGUGGAAUACAGCAAAGACCAGCAGGCCAUGCUUAAGAUGCCCAACACAUUUGCAGUGUACACAAAACAUCGAGACAUCCUCCUGCAGGCCAACAACGAGAAAGACAUGAACGAAUGGCUGUACGCUUUUAGUCCUCUGCUAGCAGGAAGGAUAAGAUCUAAGCUGGCGAGGCGGCGCAGCGGCCUGACGAAGAACUGAGCGGGCGGAGCGGUUCCACUGUCGUCCACGUCAUACGUAGAUCCUCCUCAAUCUGUGUACAUACGCCGCCUCUAAACCCCCAAUAGUGCCAGUGUCAGUUAGUGAGUCAGUAAAAUACUCAUGCAUUUGUGUUAACAUUAAAACUGCAGACUAACUAGAGACAAACAAGCGAGGAUCGCUUCAUAUCUCAGCAGUUUAAAAAAACAAACAAUGACCAAUUGUUCCUGCAGGAGUAGAUUUGGGCCCCUUUUUGCUUUUUCAUCCCAAGGAAUAAAAACAAGGUUACAAGGAGAUGAGGAGGAGGAGGACUAGGAGGAUGAAAACGAACUAAGGAGAAAACUUGAUUUGUACAUCGGGUGUGUUCUGGGAUCAGUGUGUUAGUUAACCCUCAUUUAACACAUUCCUCUCUGCUCCUCUAGCUUGCUCUAUCUCACUGAGAAUCAGAAGCCUUGACAUUUACUGCCAUUAACUUUACACUCUUGUUGUCAAGACGCAAAGAAAACACAGUGAAAAGGUUAGAAGGAUGUAAGGAAAAAAGAAUGAAGGUGCAAUGUUUCUUUAGUUUUUUUUCCUUUGACGGCAGUGGUUAGCCAGCAAAGCUGCUUUUAAAUGGCCCGCAGGACAGAUUACGAUGUAGUCCCAUGACUCCCCUCGCUGUCACACCAGCGUCGGCUGAAAUCUCUGAAGUGAAGUACUCGUGUUCAGCUGUCUGUUACAUAUAGAUAAAAAAUAAAGCUCUGACGUGACCUCGGGUCAGCCAGCCUGACAGUCAGAGAAACAGAAACGUGCUGGAUUGUGGAUCUCUGAGCUGCACAUCAAAGAUGCACCUAUGCACAGAUCAAGUCUCAAAAGUGCAAUGUACCUCAUAUACAUGUUGAUGCGAGGCGCUGCCAGAGCAAACGUUUCCACUUCAUUUGCAGAGGUGUUUUUAUUUUGGAUUGUGUAUUUAUUGUUUGCAAUGUAUAUGUAUUUGUUUGCAGCUCUUUGCACAUAUUAAUAAAAGGUUGAACUAACUGAUCAGAUAAAGUCUGUGCGGUUUAGUUGUUCCACUCAUAUUAAACCAAAUGAAAGGAAAAGGAGACCUAACAUGUAACCCCUGCACCUCCACUGAGGAGGUGAGUUACAUUAGUGCUUCCUCUUUAUUAGAAAGUGGUUUGAGUGAAUUAGAAGUCUGUUGUUUUUUUGGAGGAGAUCUACUCAUUAGUCAUGC